rnacentral:rRNA from 1 species
AGAACAACAGGGAUGCCCUAGUAACGGCGAGUGAAGCGGCAACAGCUCAAAUUUGAAAUCUGGCUCUUUCAGAGUCCGAGUUGUAAUUUGCAGAGGGCGCUUUGGCUUUGGCAGCGGUCCAAGUUCCUUGGAACAGGACGUCACAGAGGGUGAGAAUCCCGUACGUGGUCGCUAGCUAUUGCCGUGUAAAGCCCCUUCGACGAGUCGAGUUGUUUGGGAAUGCAGCUCUAAAUGGGAGGUAAAUUUCUUCUAAAGCUAAAUAUUGGCCAGAGACCGAUAGCGCACAAGUAGAGUGAUCGAAAGAUGAAAAGCACUUUGGAAAGAGAGUCAAACAGCACGUGAAAUUGUUGAAAGGGAAGCGCUUGCAGCCAGACUUGCUUGCAGUUGCUCAUCCGGGCUUUUGCCCGGUGCACUCUUCUGCAGGCAGGCCAGCAUCAGUUUGGGCGGUGGGAUAAAGGUCUCUGUCAUGUACCUCUCUUCGGGGAGGCCUUAUAGGGGAGGCGACAUACCACCAGCCUAGACUGAGGUCCGCGCAUCUGCUAGGAUGCUGGCGUAAUGGCUGUAAGCGGCCCGUCUUGAAACACGGACCAAGGAGUCUAACAUCUAUGCGAGUGUUUGGGUGUCAAGCCCGAGCGCGUAAUGAAAGUGAACGGAGGUGGGAACCCGCAAGGGUGCACCAUCGACCGAUCCUGAAGUUUACGGAAGGAUUUGAGUAAGAGCAUGGCUGUUGGGACCCGAAAGAUGGUGAACUAUGCUUGAAUAGGGUGAAGCCAGAGGAAACUCUGGUGGAGGCUUCGCAGCGGUUUCUGACGUGCAAAUCGAUUCGUCAAAUUUGGGCAUAGGGCGAAAGACUAAUCGAA